GACGAACGCUGGCGGCGUGCUUAACACAUGCAAGUCGAACGAAGUGGCGAACGGGUGAGUAACGCGUAAUCAACCUGCCCUUCAGGGGGGGACAACAGUUGGAAACGACUGCUAAUACCGCAUACUGAAGGGGGGGAUUGCGUCUGAUUAGCUAGGUGGGGGGGUAACGACCAACCAAGGCGAGGAUCAGUUGCCUGGCUGAGUGGAUGGACGGCCACAUUGGGACUGGGAACAGGCCCAGGCGCCUACGGGAGGAAGCAGUUGGGAAUUUUCCGCAAUUGACGACAGUCUUACGGAGCAACGCCGCGUGAGUUAUGACGGCCUUCGGGUUGUAAAGCUCUGUUAAUCGGGACGCGGUACCGGAAUAGAAAGCCACGGCUAACUACGUGCCAGCAGCCGCGGUAAUUC
rnacentral:rRNA from 1 species